GCCGAGGUGGCGGAGCAUGGCUAAACGCGCGGGACUGCUAAUCCCGUGUUCCUUGCGAACACUUGGGUUCAAAUCCCAACCUCGGCG
rnacentral:tRNA from 1 species